GCAUACUUCUGCUUGUUCUCUGGCACUUGCUAUCAGUACAAGAAGAAUUUCCUCUGGGUAGUGGCUGCUACUUGUUGUGAGUCUGGGGGAAACACUAUUGGAGGUGACAAGAGUCCAAACUGCAAUGAUGUGCCACAUUCACCCAGCUGCAUCUGAACUGAAGCAGGGCCCCAGCCAAGCCUUGCCUGAGAUCAGCAGACCCUCGAUGACCCACAAAAAUUAUCUGCUUAGGACACAGAAGUCAAUUACACCCAAACCCUGGAUGGAAUCAGAAUCAGAAUCAGCCAUGCAAUGAGGAAGAAGAAAUGUAAGUUGCGGCCUGUGAUUCCAACAGUUCUCUUUCUGGAAUGGCUACCAAGAGAAAGUGUCCUGCAAAUCACAGUGUCCAACAGAAUCAACACUGCUAAACACACUCCCACUGGAGUACGGAGAAAGGGGAUCCACAGAAGAGCCUAAUCCUGAACCACUUCCAUGUAUUUGCCCAUCCAUUUCUCCUCUCUGGCCAAUACUCUUCAUAUUCAAAUUCUACCAGUCCUUCAAAGAUCAGAUUAAGUUCCAAAAUUUCAAAAGCCUUCUCAGCCUACUCUUACAGCUGAAUAGUGCAUACCAACUUCAAUUAAUUAUAAACUCAUGUUUCAUUUUGUAUUAUUUAAUAGAAACAUUGGAAUUUAAUCUUUGUGUUUUUUACAUUUUGUUUUCUCCACUAGAUUACCAACUUGAUGACAUGAACCACUUAUUAGAAUUCUUUUGUAGCUUGUAACUGUAUUAGGCACAGUUUCUUGAAGAAAUUAAGCACAUAUUUACAUGUUUUAAAUAACUUUGUAUUGAUUUGCAUAUGUAUGAAGGAGGUAUGUCAUACUUGGCUUUAGAAAAAAGUCUCGUCUAAUAUUCAAGGAACCAGUCUGUGACCUUUGUUUAUUAUGUAAUUUUUUGAAACACAAUCUAUAUUUACAAUCCUAUUAGCUGUUACUGGAUAUAUAUUUAUGGAAGAAUAUAACACUACUUCUUCUUUAUUACAUACAAUUUGGAUACUCUUCUGCCUUCGCCAUUAACUAUACAUUAAGACAGUUCACAUAACUUUAUUUUUUAUUUUCUGUUUUUUUUUAGAGAUGGAGGUCUAACUAUGUUGCCCAGGCUGGCCUCGAACUCCUGGGCUCAAGUAAUCCUUCACCUCAGUCUCUCAAGUUGCAGGGAUUACUGGCUUGAGCCACUGUGCCUGGCAGUUUACACAACUUUAAUUGCUGGUUUAUGUAUAAAUUUCCUUCUAUAAUCUAGUCAGAAUCUAGUCAACCUACUACUGCAUAAAAAUUUGCUGAAUAUCUCCCAAGAGCUAGCCCUCAUAAAGGGUUUUAAGGCUCUCAAUAAGCUUAAUAUACAGAAAUAAACUGCAUUGGCUGUAUAUUUGCACAAAAGUUGUAAACUUGGCUGCUGCAGAGCAAUUUAUGUACAUACGGUACCUGUUUCUUUGGCUGUCCUUUUUUUGUGUAACAAUUACUAAUAUACAUUCCCUUUUAUCUAAAAAAAUCCCUAUGUACUAAUGAAACCUCUGCCAGAGGAUAUAAGGAACACGAAAAUAGUAUAAGACACAUUUCUUGUGCCUGAUGAAUUUACACCCUUGUCAGGAAGAUAAACAUAUGUAUAAAUUGUACCUACAGAAAAUACAUAAUAUAGUGUGAUCAGACUGAAUGACUUGGUAACUGAGAAAAAUAAAAAUAAACUGAAUAGGAAAAAAUGUCCUAAGCAUUGCAUUUAAAUAUCAUACCUGGAUUAGGACUCAUUUUAUGGGCAUAUAUCAGUGCAAGUAGAGAACAAAGUGAUACAUCUUGUUUAUUUUUAAUAGCCUCAAAUUCUCGAAGAGCUUCUUGAGUUUUACCUGAAAAUCAAGAUUAUGAUAUGAAAAACUGUUCUUAGUGCAAAGCAAGAAUUUAAAACUGAUGGAACAUGUUUAAUGAUUAACACGUACCUUCCAUUAAUGUGCCAUAGGCAUGAUAAAACCUGAAGACUGGAUCACUUCCAUACCUCUUAAUUCCUUCACUGGCAACCAGUAAUACAUGAUGGAAAUAUCUCUCUUGACAAUAGUAAUUAAUCAAAGUCUAAAUGGAAAUAAUGAAAAAAUGUUAUAAAGGAAUUCUGGUGCUCUGAAAUACUCUAAGAAGCAGAUAAUAAUCUAACAUCUAGAAUAAUGUAAAAUUCAGGCAAUGUGACUUUUUUCUUCCAAGUUUCUUAAAAUACUAUUAAUGGCUAGAACUCAAUGCUAAGG
rnacentral:lncRNA from 1 species